AAGGCUUCAGGAGGGUUCUGUGAACCUGGACACCUGCAACUCUCUGCACUCUGGUUGAGACACAGUUUCAAGGUACCAGUCAGCGAGUUCAGAGUAGGACGGAAAGAUGGUACUUCAGACACAGAAAGUACCCCCAAACUUCAGCUGUGUUUGGGGUGAGGCAUCAUUGGGUGUUUGGUCAACAUAGAGCCCAGAGGCCACCUGCAGACGUGGGCAUGUAGAAUAUCCAUGUCUGGUGGUCACCUGGUGAACAUGAUCUGCAGGAACAUGGUCCAGCCUCUGGGCACCAUGUCUGUCCAUGUGUGUGAAGCUUUCAUAUGUGAUGGCUCUGCUCAGCUUACAAAGAUCACACUUUCAGGUAGUCCUUCUCUCCUUUUAGUCUAUUAUUCACUGUUAUCUGCAAUUAAAAUGCCUUAGCUUCUUCUCUUCAUGCACCCAGGUGAGUGUUCCAGUCAGAGGCCCCUGCACCUGCUGUUCACUGGCCCUCCAGCUCCCCAGUGCUCAAUGACCAUCUGCUGGUGAACAGUUCUCCUGAGGGUUGAGGAAUACCUAGGCCCCUCACAGAUGGACUCAUGGUUUCUACAGCUGAUAGACCUCUGUAUUAGUCCCAUGAAGCAAUGUCACCAUGAGCCUCAAAGCCAUUUUGAGAAAGGGAAAAAGCCAUUAGGCUCAAAGGAAACAAGACUUGCCUUCCAAUGCACAUUCCUAUGCUUGGGGUACAGAGGUCCCAGCCUGUGUUGAUUAAGGUCAGCGUGAGGGCUGACCCAGUCACCCUCUGCCAACUGGUUGGCUCAGUUAUGUUUGUCCAACAGGAAGACUGAAUAAAGACGUGAUUCCAGGA